CCGAAUUCGUCGACAACCUGGUUGAUCCUGCCACUGGUAUAUGCUUGUCUCAAAGACUAAGCCAUGCAAGUGCCUGUAUGAGUGUUUAUACAACGAAACUGCGAAUGGCUCGGUAAAACAGCAAUAAUUUCUUCGGGGAUAAUACUACUCGGAUAACCGUAGUAAAGCUAGAGCUAAUACGUGCUACAAAGGCGAGAUUCGUCUCGUGGUACUAAGUAUUAGGUACAAGCCAGUAAUUUAAAAAAAUAAAAAUAAGAGAUGGAGGGGGAAGAGAUUUCUUCUUCUUUUUUGUUUUUGUUUUUUUUCCCUUUUUUCUGGUGAUUCAUACUUAUUUUUCUGAUCGCACGAAUAAUGAUUUUGUGCGACGCCCCGAUCAAAUUUCUGACCUAUCAACUAUGAUGGUAAGGUAGGGUCUUACCAUGGUUGUGACGGGUAACGGACCGUGGGUGCGGGAUUCCGGAGAGGGAGCCUGAGAAACGGCUACCACAUCCAAGGAAGGCAGCAGGCGCGCAACUUACCCAAUCCGAACUUCGGGAGGUAGUGACAAAAAAUAUCAAUAGGGGGGCCAAUGGUCUUCCUAAUUGGAAUGAAAACAAUGUAAACACCUUAUUGAGGAACCAGCAGAGGGCAAGUCUGGUGCCAGCAGCCGCGGUAAUUCCAGCUCUGUAAGCGUAUACCAAAGUUGUUGCAGUUAAAACGCUCGUAGUCGAAUUUUGGCGUUUUUUUCUUUUUUUCUUUCUUUUGUUUUUUGUUUGUUUUUCUUUUUCUUUUUUCUUUUUUUUUAAAAGGGGGAGAGCAAGGAGAAUGGGUAAUACAAGGGGAAGGGGGAAAUUAAAUUUUUGGUGCUACCGAAACUCCUCAUAAGAUGUUUUUGGUAGCCCCGCCUUUGUGGAGGGGGGUGCGGUGGGCCUUUGUUGGUUUGCCGCGUGUCCACCACUGUUUACUGUGAAAAAAUUAGAGUGUUCAAAGCGAGCGAAUUGCCAUGAAUACAUUAGCAUGGAAUAAUAGAAUAGGACCCGGUUCUGUUUUCUAUUGGUAUUUGUCGGAAUCAGGUAAUGAUUAAGAGGGACGGUCGGGGGUAUUUGUAUUCCAGCGCUAGAGGUGAAAUUCUUGGAUUGCUGGAAGACAAACAGCUGCGAAAGCGUCUACCAAGGACGUUUUCAUUGAUCAAGAACGAAAGUAAGGGGAUCGAAGACGAUCAGAUACCGUCGUAGUCUUUACUAUAAACGAUGAGGACUGGGGAUCGGGCGUGGCCUAUUUUUAAAGGAAAAAAGGCGAAAUAAAAGGGAAGGAGCUUUGUCUUUUUUUGUCUUUUUUUUCUCCUUUUUUUUCUUUUCUUUUUUUGGUACGUUCGGCACCCUCCGGGAAACCAAAGUAUUUGCUUUCUGGGGGGAGUAUGGUCGCAAGUCUGAAACUUAAAGGAAUUGACGGAAGGGCAUCACCGGGUGUGGAGCCUGCGGCUCAAUUUGACUCAACACGGGGAAACUUACCAGGUCCAGACAUAGUAAGGAUUGACAGAUUGAGAGCUCUUUCUUGAUUUUAUGGUUGGUGGUGCAUGGCCGUUCUUAGUUGGUGGAGUGAUCUGUCUGGUUAAUUCCGUUAACGAGCGAGACCUGGGCGUGCUAAAUAGGGUAUGUUAUUCCUUUUUUUUAUUUUUCCAACCUUGUUGUCCGACUCUCUUUUGUUUUUUUUUUGUUUUUUCAAGGAAAAAAGGCGAGAGAGAAAGAAAAGGCGUAAAAUCCUUUUUUUUCUUCUUUUUCUUUUUUUUUUGGAGGGGUAGAAGCGACGAGGGAUGAUGGCGGAUUUUAUGCAAGUGCGGAAGAAUGUUCUUUGAAAUAGCAUUUUAUAUUACCCUUCUUAGACGGACUGUAGGCGUUUAGCCUAUGGAAGCUCCAGGCAAUAACAGGUCUGAGAUGCCCUUAGAUGUUCUGGGCCGCACGCGUGCUACACUGAACGGUUCAACGGGUUAGGUAGUGCGAAAGCAUAACCCAAUCCCUAAAUCCGUUCGUGCUGGGGAUAGAAGCUUGCAAUUCUCCUUCUUGAACGAGGAAUACCUUGUAAGCGCGAGUCAUCAUCUCGCGCUGAAUACGUCCCUGCCCUUUGUACACACCGCCCGUCGCUCCUACCGAUUGAGUGGUCCGGUGAGGCUUUGGGAGAGCUGGGUGGAUUGUGUUUCACAAACCACCUGGUUUAAACUUGGUCAAACCUUACUACUUAGAGGAAGGAGAAGUCGUAACAAGGUUUCCGUAGGUGAACCUGCAGAAGGAUCAAGCUUGGAUGGGCCC
rnacentral:rRNA from 1 species